rnacentral:misc_RNA from 1 species
GUUCUGACUUAAGAGCACCAUAACGAAGAUGUGACGAGGAAAUAUUGCCAAUCUCAUCCCGAUAGUAAACAGAGUGAACAUGUGGAGGCAGUCUAGCAAGAAGUUGCUUAAAUGAAGAGGCGCCAUUAGCAGAUGGCCUGGAUUGGUAUUCGAGUCUCGAAAAGAUUCCACUAUGUUUUGCUCCAGCAUGCUUCAGAUUAUAAUGCUCAGUCACUUGAACAUUCCCCCAGUGAGAAAUUUCCACCUCCCGCACGAGCUCUUCCACCACAGCAAACGCAUUAUUGUUCUCAAAAUGCACCAUUACCGGAGAAAACGAAUACGGCUUCU